GACGAACGCUGGCGGCGUGCUUAACACAUGCAAGUCGAACGGAAAGGCCUGCUUUCCCUUGUGGAUUGCGGGUACUCGAGUGGCGAACGGGUGAGUAACACGUGAGCGAUCUGCCCCCAACUUGGGUAUAAGCCUGGGAAACUGGGUCUAAUUCCCGAUAGGACUGCAGGGUGGUGCCUGUGGUGGAAAACGAUUUUCUAGUGGUUGGUGAUGAGCUCGCGGCCUAUCAGCUUGUUGGUGGGGUAAUGGCCUACCAAGGCGGCGACGGGUAGCCAGCCUGGGAGCGUGGACGGCGACAUUGAGACUGAGAUACGGCCCAGACUGCUACGAGAAGCAGCAGUGGGGAAGAUUGCACAAUGAGCGGAAGCCUGAUGCAGCGACGCCGCGUGGGGGAUGACGGCCUUCGGGUUGUAAGCUCCUUGCGACCGCGAGGAAGCCACCUGGUUGGAAGGGUGGUGACGGUAGUGGUAGAAGAAGCACCGGCUAACUACGUG
rnacentral:rRNA from 1 species